GCGUACGAGAUUAUGCGCAUGCAUUCUCACCUCGGUCAUUGUUUUGAUAGACAUGCAACGAGUAGUGUGAGAGAGACGCUCACUCUCUGGGAACGGUGUACAACAGUAUGUUGAGCAUUUCAACCCUCGUGAGGUGAAUGUGAUGUUCUGUAGGAGCUGAUUGUUACGCUCUUCACCAAUCAGCUGAUUGAACUUCUAUUCAAUAUGAAGGGAAGGGCAAAAAAGAUAAAAUUUGAAUUGAAGACAAUAAAUUGUUUUCAGCAAUAAAAGCUGCUGUCAUGAAAUGGGACCCAGCUGCUACAGAGGCCCAAAUAAAGUCUGCUGCAUCUGAUCAUCUGAAACAUGCCCCGGGAGAGUCAGGGGUGGUGGCUGUAAAUGAAUAUAUUGUGGACCUUAUAGCAGCCACAUUUUGUUAAUUGUUUACUGUUUUAACAAAAUUUUAUAGCACUUUUAUUUAUAACUUUACUGUUCAGGUUUUAAGUUGUAUUGUGUUAAUUUAUACUUGACUGUUCAGGUUUUAAGUUGUAUUGUGUUAAUUUAUACUUGACUGUUCAGGUUUUAAGUUGUAUUGUGUUAAUUUAUACUUGACUGUUCAGGUUUUAAGUUGUAUUGUGUUAAUUUAUACUUUACUGUUCUGGUUUUAAGCUUGGGUAAAAUUUGUAAUAAAAA